AUUGAACGCUGGCGGCAUGCCUUACACAUGCAAGUCGAACGGCAGCACGGGAGCUUGCUCCUGGUGGCGAGUGGCGAACGGGUGAGUAAUACAUCGGAACGUACCCAGGAGUGGGGGAUAACGUAGCGAAAGUUACGCUAAUACCGCAUAUUCUGUGAGCAGGAAAGCGGGGGAUCGCAAGACCUCGCGCUCUUGGAGCGGCCGAUGUGGGAUUAGCUAGGUGGUGAGGUAAAAGCUCACCAAGGCGACGAUCCGUAGCAGGUCUGAGAGGAUGAUCUGCCACACUGGGACUGGGACACGGCCCAGACUCCUACGGGAGGCAGCAGUGGGGAAUUUUGGACAAUGGGGGCAACCCUGAUCCAGCCAUGCCGCGUGAGUGAAGAAGGCCUUCGGGUUGUAAAGCUCUUUCGGCGGGGAAGAAAUGGCAACGGCUAAUAUCCGUUGUUGAUGACGGUACCCGCAUAAGAAGCACCGGCUAACUACGUGCCAGCCGCCGCGGUAA
rnacentral:rRNA from 1 species